GAUGAACGCUGGCGGCGUGCCUAAUACAUGCAAGUCGAGCGAACGGAUGAGAAGCUUGCUCCUCUGACGUUAGCGGCGGACGGGUGAGUAACACGUGGAUAACCUACCUAUAAGACUGGGAUAACUUCGGGAAACCGGAGCUAAUACCGGAUAAUAUUUUGAACCGCAUGGUUCAAAAGUGAAAGACGGUCUUGCUGUCACUUAUAGAUGGAUCCGCGCUGCAUUAGCUAGUUGGUAAGGUAACGGCUUACCAAGGCAACGAUGCAUAGCCGACCUGAGAGGGUGAUCGGCCACACUGGAACUGAGACACGGUCCAGACUCCUACGGGAGGCAGCAGUAGGGAAUCUUCCGCAAUGGGCGAAAGCCUGACGGAGCAACGCCGCGUGAGUGAUGAAGGUCUUCGGAUCGUAAAACUCUGUUAUUAGGGAAGAACAUAUGUGUAAGUAACUGUGCACGUCUUGACGGUACCUAAUCAGAAAGCCACGGCUAACUACGUG
rnacentral:rRNA from 1 species